rnacentral:tRNA from 2 species
GCCGGAGUGGCGGAACUGGCAGACGCGCUGUCUUGAGGGGACAGUGCCCUUCGGGGCGUGCGGGUUCGACUCCCGCCUCCGGCA